UACGUAGGGUGCAAGCGUUAAUCGGAAUUACUGGGCGUAAAGCGUGCGCAGGCGGUUCUGUAAGAUAGAUGUGAAAUCCCCGGGCUCAACCUGGGAAUUGCAUAUAUGACUGCAGGACUUGAGUUUGUCAGAGGAGGGUGGAAUUCCAUGUGUAGCAGUGAAAUGCGUAGAUAUGUGGAAGAACACCGAUGGCGAAGGCAGCCCUCUGGGACAUGACUGACGCUCAUGCACGAAAGCGUGGGGAGCAAACAGG
rnacentral:rRNA from 1 species